AUAACUGUCUGCUUGCAUUGUUAUAACUUUCAGCAUUGUACGCCGCCUCUUUGUGUGAUAGUAUGUAAAAUUAGUGCUGUGUUUGAUAAAACCGAAAAGAUCAAAUUAUAGAGCUAUACAUUUCUCUAAGAAUUGUCCGAAAUUCACCAUGUUUUUAUAAAAAACUACGUAUUUAGCAAUUCAAUUUCUUCAUUUUUUUAACAGUGAUUUUGAGGCUAUUGUUGGAACGACGAACAAUCAACUUUGAAAGGAAAAGUGUUACUUUAUUUGUUAGCAUUGGAGUUCGUUAAUUUUACUGUAAAUUACUGAAUCUGAAAUUUUUCAGUGGUAUUAGAACUGGUAUUUAUCGAUUCGUAGUGUAUUAUAGUGAACAUAAUAUUGUUCAUAUCUACUGUCAGAACAAUUCCAACGAUUAAUUUUCAAAAUGUGUUGUGGUGACCGCUUUCAUUACAUUUCUUCAAUUAUAGGACUUUCAAUCAAUUUAUCCGCCUUUAUAUGCUUCAUGUAUUUGAAGAUUUAUGGUGCCUGCUUAUGGUCCGCAGUUGCUUUGGUUUUCUCUCUUGCCAACGUGCAACUCAAUUAUUUGAAUCUCACGAGGAAAAUUGAUCUUUGGCACUCAAUCGAUACCUUGAUGCCAAUAAGGGAUUUGGCUGUAUUUGGAAGUGUAAUCUCUUUGAGUGCCAUGGCGUGGUACAUUUUCUGCUUCUUGUAUUACCAAGAAUACAAACAGCCCGAAGGAGUUUAUUUGAUCAUGAAUGUUGUUUGGACUUUCAUGACACUGAAGUGGAACGUAUUUCUAAUCUUCACUGUGAAGCGAUGUAUCAAUGCGAUAACUGGAGGUGAUCUCCUUGCACCACUUACAUGAAGUCAUUAUAAUAACGUUGUUGCUUGAUAACAACUACGAAAUGUUUGUUUAUUUACCAAAAGUAAGACCUAUCUAUUUUAAUGUUUAAGACUUCGAUGAUUAGCACUAAUCACAUCUAUAUUAUUUUACAAUUUCAAAUAUUUAUUCGGGUAAAAGAAAGAAGACGGGGCCGCGCUACCUGUGCACUGGGCUAUUGUUCCAAAAAGGUUCAUCCUGUAACUCUCGACUAGCAUACUUUAUUGUCCACUGAUUCCGCUUCAUUACUCUCAUUUGUGGCCCCGUGUGCUUUCUUGAAGGCAAUUCUAGCUGGUAGCACCAACUUAUCUAUUACUUUUCACCUUACAUCUGUUACUUUUAUUUUCUGCAAUUACUGAACGUAAAUCAGUGAUCAAGUACUUAUAAUAUUAUUGUAUUAUUCCCAAUGGUUCAUUUGAUGAAACUCAACCUGCUCACAGGCUGUAUACAGACCAACUUGAGUUACAUAAAGUUCGAUACUUAUUGAACGUACGAUUUUUUUGCGUCCUAUCAAAUUCUAUUAGAUUGAACACAACUUGGCACAUAUGAUGUGUAUCAUGUUUUUGUCAAGUCCCAUUCAAUCUCAAAGAAUUUAUAAGGACGGCUAACAAAUGUACGUCCAAAAAUCGAUGUGGGCUUUACACACCACGUACGUUUGACUAAAUGUGUACUUGUCAUCGAUAGUUAUGUGUGUUUAUCCAAUCACUGUAUGCUACCACUGGUUUACAUCUGAAAGUGCCUUCAAGUAACCACACUGGUCCACCAAUAUUUUGCUCAGAGUGGAAACCUUAACAAUAGACCACGAAAAUGUCAAAAUUCAAUAACAAUAGGUGACCACUGAAGGGUCUCUAGAACUUCUACCUGUCCAUCCAUUGUUUUCGGCGGCCCCGGAUCCUUUCAUUAACCCAUUUAUUCAUAUUUUAAUAAGAAUCUUAAAUUUAUUAUUUUAUAGUUUUAUAUUUAUAAUUUUAUAUUAUAUUGUAGCACUAUGAGACCAGAUAGGGCGACACUAGCAAUCAACUGUUCAUUGGCAUUAUUGUUAGUCACGUGAUUUUAUUAUUGAGAGCUGUGCUAUGCUCUUACAAUUCAGUGCUUGAAUACUAUUUAUUUAGUAAAUAUGAUAGUCUAAAACUACUCAAUCUUGAAUGCUAUAUUUUUAUCAUUUUAUUCAGCUUUCUUAGUAUCUACCGUACUGUUUGGUGACUUUGCCUGCCAUAGCGGGGUUUUUCCUAGUACCAUUGAAAACAUAUUUAAUUUGAAUUUACUGGUUAAUCGUUUGGUGCAUGGCCCCGUUCUCUAUAGAUUUCUGUGAGAAUAUCGACUUCAGAUUCAUUGUUGGUGUAUGAUCACAUGAGAAACAAAAUGAGGAAAGAGCCAGGAACACAUUAUGACUUAUUUGUCGCUGCUCACACUGAAUGUACAAGCAAGCGUGUGCACUUGCUGGUGGCGUUUAGUGUGAGCAGCUACAGACAGACAAGUCACAACGUGUUCCUAUGGCUCUUUCCAGUUUUUGUUUCUCAUGUGCAAGUUUGCACAAGUGAUCAGUUUGCAUCUAAUGUGAUCGUAGGUUCCGUAGUUGCACCGUGUGUUAAUGUGUUCACACAGAGUUGUCACAAGUCUGUAUUGAUGAAUAUAAAUUACUUCAUUAGACAGUAAGAGUUCAAAUUCAUUAGAAUGGUGGUCAUUGAUUAUUGUAAUUUUCAUCCCAUUAUUCAAACGGAUUAGUCUAGGAACUUUCUCUCUUGAUUUGUGCAUAACUUAAUAAGGUGACCUAUGAAAAUUAUAAUUCGAAUUUAGAAUGAAUGACUUCUUUAUUUGUUGACGUGGCGAAGUUUGGACAGUAAUGUCCACUCUACCACGAAUUUAUUACAAGAUGGCGUGUUUUAAAAUAAUUGCUGGAUAAAAAUAAUAUUUUGUUUGAAUAUAAUUUAACGGUGAGUUUCAUAUUCAUCAAGUGGAUAAAUCCGGGCAAUAGCCUUACAUAUGACAAUGUGAUAAUCACCAUACCAUGUUGUUUGACAUGUAUUUUUGAGACAUGAAACUUAUUGAUCAGGUAAUAGCAUUUACAAGAAGAUUAGUCAAUGACCACGCUAUAUUAGUUUUCGUUUGUAAUAUUUCAUGUAAUUAUUACAUGAUAAGAAAAUUGAAAAGUAGGCAAAGUCACUUUACUGAUGUUCCAAUUAUUAAACGAGAAGAGUCCAAUAUCAACUUUUCUAUUCUUCCGAAUGGAAUAGUUGGAAUUUCAGCUGUCUUUCUGCGUCUUCUGAGUUUCUCAACAUUGAAAACAUGUAGGCCUAUCCUUCUCAAACUAUAGUUAUUCCAUUUUAUUACUAUGUAUUUCAAAUAACAGGUCUUGUGACUCAAAAAGUUCCUUUAUAAAGUCCAAUCUUAUUAUCAACCUUCCAUUUACGCACUAGGCUGGAGCUUAUCAGGGCUCCACCCUCAUUAAAUAAAAAAAUUUGCAUUAAAUUUGCACGGAUGGGCUUGUAAAAACCCAGACAAUUCAAUCAAAACAUCACCUUUAAGUUUUAUUAUAAUUCAUUCAACCCUCAUCUGAUGUCAAUUAAAAUAAGUCAUAUUACUGUAGCAUAAGAUUCAUUUAGUACGAAUAAUUAUUAUAAAUAUUAAUUUUAUUAUUAU